rnacentral:lncRNA from 1 species
UUCAGCGUUAUGCUAGUUUGAUUUUUCUCUAUUUAUUCAAAACAACAUAUGUCUGUGAUGGACUUGACCUUUAAAUGUAAUUCAAGGCCAAAGAACGGGGAGUGUCAUAUGUGUAUUUUAGAGAUUUUUAGAAAAUAUUUGUUAAUUCCUUAUUCUGAAAUCUGACAUGAGUGUUAAAAUAUCAUGAAAUCAAAGUUAUAUCCAAUUUCAGCUGUUUAUUCAUGAAAAGAUAUACUGCUCAUUAUCCCACCUGCUACGAAAAGCAUUGAAUCACGUAUAAAAGGAAUGAGAGAAAGUAUAAGUAAUAUCAAACGAGUUAAUGUAGUUCCUGGCAUAGUUAGAGAGGACAUCUGUAUUAUGAAAUUUUGUCAUACCAUGGACCUACAAACGGAAGGACAUUCAUUGGUUAAUUAAUGAAUACCCUAAAGUGUUUGAUUUGAUUUCUCUUUAUAUGUGUCUCCUUUAGUCCUAUGAUGGUUCAAGUCAAGUACUAAAACAGAGCUAUUCAAAUCGAUUGUGCUUUGAACGGAAAUUUUAUGAUCAUGUCUAUGUUAAUAUCAAUCCAUUACAUGUGUAUGUUUAGUAGGAAACAGAUAGGGGCUUUGAUCUUAACUGGAGCGAGCUUCAGUAUUCCAAAUGAUAUCUCUAAAAUGCGCAGACAUACAUAUUACUUCACACAAUUUUUGCACAGCUUUUGAGACCAAGUUAUAUCAUGUGACUAUAUCCAUAUCAUGUGACCUUUCACAUGACAGUAUCUUGCUAAGAGUCCAUAUAAAUGGCUCAUAUAUAUAUAAUUUAUAUGAAAGUUUGAUGGAAUCAGGUUUCAGUCAUGAAUUUCAUGAUAAGAUGGUUAAUUAUUCUGAUUAGUACGUGUUGGGUCAGUUAAAAUUGUUCAUCGCUUUCUAGCGAUUUCAAUUUAAAAAAAAAAACACUAAAUAAUUAAUGUAAUUUUAUAAAACAAAAUAAAGAGGUUUUCAGAAAUUAGACCUUUAGUAAUGUUCAUGAUAAAAAGUUAUGAAAUGUUUAGAAAUUACAAAGUAUCAAGCGAAAUUCAGGUUUGAUUUAGUUAUGAUCAAUUGAGAUUUCUUUAAAGAAACUGUCUGGAAUAAGUGUUCUAACUUUCAAUGCAAUGGCAUAUUUGGCAACCAAGAUUGGGAGCGGCCAUAUAGUACUCUUCCUCAGAGGUGUUUUAAGAUUCAUGCUUGAAUAUGCAAAAUAUGUGGAAAAGCCAGGAAAAGAAGAAUGAUAAUAACCUGUAUUUAAGGCACACAUUAUUGAAAGCGCAGUUGUGCAUUAAGCACUGAAAAUUCAUAUUACUGUUUGAUUGUUCAAAAUAAUGUUAUAUAAAAAUGAUUAUUGAUAUUAGUUCAUGCAAAAUAGUUGAAAAUCAUGAUGACUUAAAUUUCAUACAGGCAUUAUGGAAGUAUCUUUAUAUUCAUAUGACAAACAAUAUCAAUCCGAUCCCCAGUAUAUAUAUAUAGUUGUCGUGUUUGUGCAGUUUGGUGUAUACGUCUAUUUAUUAUAGCUAUGUCAUGAAACGUUUGGGCUGUUUUUGCUUGUUCAGGUUUAUGAGGUCGUGGAUAAUUGUUUUAUUGAAUGGGAGAGGGUGGGGUGGAUCAUUAUGAA